CCUGUGCUAGCUUUCUGGAGCGCGAGUGCAUGAGAGGAAGAUGAUCGCGCCCACACGUGAGGAUGUUGAGACCUGCAAAUGAGGUUGAUGGUGGCCCGUGUUGGGAGAAAAGAGAAAAAAUUGUGGGAGGCGAUCAAACAAAAUACGCAUCAAGGAUGGGCUAUAGACACCCGAGAAGAGAUUUUGACACAAGUGGCGCAUGGGGUCGAUCGCAAGCCUGUUCAACGAUCAUAGGCGCUAGUGAGCACAAGCAGCUGAACGUCUAUGAGUGGAGGUCAGGGGCAGGCCCAGACCUAGGGCCAGUAGAGCCAUGGUCCUAGUCGUGGUCCAGAAAUUUUAGAAAAAAACUCUUCAGUUCUAGCCCAAGAAAGAAACUCAUUAAGCAGAAAACUAGAGCAGACCAAGGCUAACGGAAGAGAAGUCGCUCAGCCACCGAUCCUCGCGCGGACACGCCCACGACGCCACACGCGGCACGCCUCGCGCCCUCGCUUGUCGUCUCCGCUCCGGCCUCCCUCCUUGGCUCCUCCUACCCUCGCACGCUCCUGCACGCGACGGUCGGGGCAAACUCCCGCACGCGACGGCGAGAUGACGCCUCCUGCCCUGGCCCUUGCCCUCUCUGCUCGUGGCCUCGGUGCCUCGCGGCCCUCGCCCCUACCCAGACGGCGGUCCGCCGGCCUGCUGCCUACGGCCUGUCCAUGUCCACAUGUCCCUGCGUGGGCGUGGCCAGGGGCAGGGGAGCCGGGAGCCUCCUGUCCAGAAGCUGUGAUUCCGUGAACGUGAACUGAAGUUAGAUGGAGAGGCGAAUGCAACAAAUAUUUACUAGACAAUAGGUCGAUUUCUGACACGGAGCGAAGUGGUGGCUUGUCGCCGAAGGCUUGGACCGGAGAGAAGCGGAGUCUGAAGUGGUCCAUUGGUGUACACCCUCGUUGUCACUUGGAGGGGGGGGGCUUGCCCCCCACUGCACGGUACGGUAUAUAUACCCAAAAUUAGGAUUUCACUGAAGAUUAUGAUCUUGUAAGCCGUCGCACGACGUUAUAACCCAACUCUUGAUAAUAGAGAGGAGUGUUUGCUGGCUGGCGCUCAUGGUUUUGUCCUUCACAUUGGAGGGAGUUUGCACGUUAAAUCUUUGUGUCUCCGCUGUGAUUUGAUAUUAUAUUCUUCAUCGUUUAUCCGUCGUCAUUUACAACAAAGUGAUGUGUAAAUAUAUGGGUCAUGAAAUGAAGUUAUUGGGCAGAGUUAUCAGA